GAUUCUGCUUUGUUCGUUGGAGUGGCGCACUGUUUAAUCCCGGAUUUCCUCGACGCGAAAAAUUCCUGCACCCGUUCCGCUCAUCGAUCAACACUGGCAGUUAUGCGCCGUUUGCUGGCGCAGUUGCUAGUUGGCUUGUGAUUUAAAACAAAAUUAAAAUAGACAGCAUUACAAUUGAUCACAGACGAGGAGCAGCGCGAGCGAACGUCGCGUGGAAAUCGCGGACAUUUUUAGCAAUCAAUUGUAAUUCGCGGCUGUAUCGAUUCGAGAAGUGCAGAAGGGAAAAAAGAGCAGAUUCGGCGACAAAAGGCUAGAUCGCGUCUGUCCCAACGAUUAAUUGAUUUCUCGCCAGCGGCCAAGUCGUGCCCAGAAGAGAAAGGAAAGAUACACUUGGCGAACGGUGGCGGAAGCGGUGAAAAGUGAUUGAUAGUUGUGAUUGCUUGGUCGCCAUUCGCUAAUUGAAAGUUUGCACCUAAGGAUCUAUUCGUCAUGGAGAAAACGGAAUUGAGCAAAGAACAGCUGAAAGUCCUGAAAGAAGCCUUCGAUGCUUUCGACAAGGACAAAACGGGCAGCAUUCCAACCGAUGUCGUCGGCACAAUCCUGGAGCUGCUGGGCCACACGCUGAGCGAGGAAGAGCUGGAGGAGGUGAUCGACGAGUACGACGAGGACGAGUCGGGACAGCUGGAGUUUAAUGAGUUCGUGGAACUAGCGUCGAACUACGUCGAGCCGGAGGAGGAUUACGAUGCGCUAAGGAGCGAACUGCGCGAGGUUUUCAUGAUGUACGAUAAGGAAGCUAAGGGCUUUAUUCCAGUAGACGCAUUCAAACAGAUCCUGAGAGAAUUGGAUGGCGCGGUACCAGAAGAAGAACUAGACGAUAUUGUGGAUGAGAUUGAUGCCGACGGUUCAGGAACGGUAGAUUUUGAAGAAUUUAUGGAGGUCAUGACAGGUGAAUAGACAUUUUCCCCCUCUUCUUCGUUCUCUGUUGGCCGCUGCAUUAAGCUUUCGCCGAGCUUUUGCACACCCUCCUAACGAAUUGGCGAUUUCGAAAUUAAUCGAAAGUUCUGAACAUGUGGUUUCUAGCCUCAACUGAUGCUUUUCUAAUAUUUACGGUUUGUAGGUUAAAGUAAAUUACAGGUGGCAACGUUGCGAUAAAAAACGGAAAGGUUCGAUAUCAAUAACAUUAGGGAAGAAGUUUCAAUCUUUGAGCAAAUUAAAAUAUAAAACAGGCAUCAGUACAUUUUUUUCCGAACAAAUAUCAAAAAAAUAAAUCGCCAUUCAUACAUAAAGCAAAGGAAUCAUCAGUCGUGUGAGGUUCUUAGUUUUACUGCUCUAGUUAUGGAAUAAAGAUAAGUUUGUUAAGAGUC